AGUAAAAGUCGUAACAAGGUUUCCGUAGGUGAACCCGCGGAAGGAUCAUUAUCGAGUCUGGCUUGGGUUGUCGCUGGUCCUGUAGGGCAUGUGCACGCUCAAUGCUCAUCCACUCACCCCUGUGCACUUCUGUAGCUGUUUUUUUUAAUGGAUGGUUUGGAAGGCUUCAUGGCCGGAUAUACUGUCUGGCGGGGAAGACACUACGUUUUUUAUACACACAUAAAGUUUAGAAUGUAACCUUUGCUAUAAAACGCAUUAAAUACAACUUUCAACAACGGAUCUCUUGGCUCUCGCAUCGAUGAAGAACGCAGCGAAAUGCGAUAAGUAAUGUGAAUUGCAGAAUUCAGUGAAUCAUCGAAUCUUUGAACGCACCUUGCGCUCUCUGGUAUUCCGGAGAGCAUGCCUGUUUGAGUGUCAUGAAUCUCUCAACUCCUAAAGUCUGUAAUGGAUAUUAGGGGCUUGGACUUGGAGGCUUGCCGGCGUUGGUCGGCUCCUCUUAAAUGCAUUAGCUAUGGAUCACGAUGUGUACGAUCUACGGUGUGAUAUAUGUCUACGCUAUAAGAUCUACAUGCGAGUUACCACCUUCGGGUAGCGCUCUCUUAGGGGAGCCGUGUGACGAGUGAAUACAAAGCUUCUAAUCGUCUUCGGACAAAUUUACUUGACAUCUGACCU
rnacentral:rRNA from 1 species